UAUAGCAGGGCACAGAUUAUACAAGAAGUUCUUGGAAUGUAUUGGAGAUCUUUUUUUUCCCCAGAAGGUAGAGAAAGCUACUAGGAGGAGAGGCUGUUCUAGAUUUGACUUUGACAAAUAGGGAGUAACUGGUUUGAGAAUUUGAAAGCAGAAGGAAUCUUAGUUGAAAGUGAUUAUGAAAUAGUACAGUUCACAAUUCUGAGAAACGGUAGGAGGGAAAACAGCACAAUAAAGACAAUGGAUUUCAAGAAGGCAGACUUUAGCAAACUCAGGGAGUUCGUACGUAAGAUCCCAUGGGAAGCAAGUGUAACGGGAAAAACAAUUCAAGAGAGUGCAGUUUUUCAAAGAGACAUUAUUAAGGGAACAAGAGCAAACUAUCGCAGUGCAUCGGAAAGAUAGGAAGUAUGGCAAGAGACCACCAUGGCUUAACCAGAAGAUAUUCAAUUAUCU